rnacentral:rRNA from 1 species
GACGUAGGGCGCGAGCGUUGUCCGGAUUUAUUGGGCGUAAAGAGCUCGUAGGCGGCUUGUUGCGUCGGCUGUGAAAACCCAUGGCUCAACCGUGGGCUUGCAGCCGAUACGGGCAGGCUAGAGUUCGGUAGGGGAGACUGGAAUUCCUGGUGUAGCGGUGAAAUGCGCAGAUAUCAGGAGGAACACCGGUGGCGAAGGCGGGUCUCUGGGGCGAUACUGACGGUGAGGAGCGAAAGCGUGGGGAGCGAACAGG